rnacentral:lncRNA from 1 species
UUUAUGAUUACUUUAAGAAUUUAGAAUUCUUAGAGUGGAGACAAGUUUCUCUUGCUCAUGGCCUUAACAUUUCUGAGAAGCUCUGGUCUGAAUCAGAGACAUGUAUGGCCUAACUACGUAAGUUUAUUUAGUAACUCAAUUGUUUUGACUAGGGUUGAUAGAGAAACGUGUGCAGUAACCUACCAAAAUAGAUUUUGUUAUUUGGCAACAAAAAAAAAAAUAGAUUUUGUUGUAUUACUCUGUAUACCAAAACUGAUUUCAAUCCGUCUUUGUGGAAUUUAACCUGAUUAUAUGUACAAUUUUAGAAACGUAUAGGAUCCAUCAUGGACAAAGCAAACAUGUUUUGGAAAAAAAAAAAAAAAGUAAUAGAGACCAAAUGGAAAAACAUGGAUCUUUUAGACGAGAGAGUUCCAAGGUAGUGAUUAUUAGGGUUUUGAAGUUGGCUUAUAUAUGGCACAACUCUAUUCUUACCAUUGGGUUAAAACAACAUAUACACUAUAAUCUUGAUGUCGAUUACAUAUGUAUAAAAUUUGGCAUAAACAGCUCAAGAAAUUAUAGGAUAAAUAUGAAAGUAUUUUAUUCUCGGAUUGUGCUUUUCGUUAUAAAUUCCAAAUUUUAUAAUCAGAUGCGUUUUUUUAAGCAUUUUAUCAUCAGUUUUACUUCACUAGUAAAUGCAAAAAACAUAACGUAUGAAUAAAGAUUUUACAAAAUGAUAUUUUGGUUUCCAAGAGUUUACUACUACACUAUUUUUGAGUUCUAAUAUGAUGAUGAUGAUGCAAUCAAUAUUGAUUUCUUCAUAUGAUCAAAUGAUAUGAACUUUGCCAUCGCUGAUCAUCACUUUGUUAUCAUCUUGCAGUUUCUGCAUAAAAUCCACAAUAGAGUAAAGUUAUGAAGAUAUUGUAUAAAAAGUUAAAGAAUGAGAAAGCUUGUCUCUUAAUUUGUGAAUUACCUCUAAGAGAGCCAUAAUCUCAUCUGCAGAGUAACGAGAUGCUCCAACCCCAUUGUUGUUGACAACAGUCUCUAUAUCUGCAAUAGAGAUGUCAUCGAGCCUGUGUGUCCUCAUGUGCUGCCCAAAC